UACGUAUGGAGCAAGCGUUAUCCGGAUUUACUGGGUGUAAAGGGUGCGUAGGCGGCACAGCAAGUCAGAUGUGAAAGACCGGGGCUCAACCCCGGGGCUGCAUUUGAAACUGCCGAGCUUGAGUCCGGGAGAGGCAGGCGGAAUUCCUAGUGUAGCGGUGAAAUGCGUAGAUAUUAGGAGGAACACCAGUGGCGAAGGCGGAUUGCUGGACUGUAACUGACACUGAGGCACGAAAGCGUGGGGAGCAAACAGG
rnacentral:rRNA from 1 species